rnacentral:tRNA from 1 species
CGGGGUGUGGCGCAGUUGGCUAGCGCAUCUGCUUUGGGAGCAGAGGGUCGCCCGUUCGAGUCGGGCCACCCCGACCC